rnacentral:rRNA from 1 species
UUACCUGGGCUUGACAUCCCGGGAAUCCCCUGGAAACAGGGGAGUGCCCUUCGGGAACCCGGUGACAGGUGCUGCAUGGCUGUCGUCAGCUCGUGUCGAGAGAUGUGGGUUAAGUCCCGCAACGAGCGCAACCCUUGUCUUUAAUUGCCAUCAUUUAGUUGGGCACUUUAAGAGACUGCGGUGUUAAGCCGGAGAAGUGGGGAUGACGUCAAGUCCUCAUGGCCUUUAUGCCCAGGGCUACACACGUGCUACAAUGGGCGGUACAAAGAGAAGCAACCUCGCGAGGGUGAGCAAAUCUCAAAAAGCCGUUCUCAGUUCGGAUUGAAGUCUGCAACUCGACUUCAUGAAGUCGGAAUCGCUAGUAAUCGCGGAUCAGCAUGCCGCGGUGAAUACGUUCCCGGGCCUU